rnacentral:rRNA from 1 species
UACGUAGGGUCCAAGCGUUGUCCGGAUUUAUUGGGCGUAAAGAGCUCGUAGGCGGUUCGGUAAGUCGGAUGUGAAAACUCAGGGCUCAACCCGGAGACGCCAUCCGAUACUGCUGUGACUCGAGUCUGGUAGGGGAUCACGGAAUACCUGGUGUAGCGGUGAAAUGCGCAGAUAUCAGGUGGAACACCGAUGGCGAAGGCAGUGAUCUGGGCCAGUACUGACGCUGAGGAGCGAAAGCGUGGGGAGCAAACAGG